GGCGUUACUGUAUGGCGGUUUAUAAUCGUGAAAAUCACAAAGAUAUAUAUCUCCUGUCUUGUGCAUUAAGCCCCAAAUAAAUUUAAACCAGUUGCAUAAUAAGUAGUUCCUAGAAAUAUGUUUCUCAUAAUUAAGUUGAAUUUUCAUUCAUUUUAAGUCCAUAAAUAGGCAGCAUUUUAAAGGAAAAUAUUAAGAUCAAAAACCAAUCUACUCCCAUAAACAUCGAAUAUCUUCGAUCUUUUCUUUUCGUUUUGUCAAUCGUUUUCCAAAAAUGCAUUCAAUAAAGCAAUAGUAGGAAUUUUGAACUGAG
rnacentral:lncRNA from 1 species